UGCCUAAUACAUGCAAGUAGAACGCUGAAGGAGGAGCUUGCUUCUCUGGAUGAGUUGCGAACGGGUGAGUAACGCGUAGGUAACCUGCCUGGUAGCGGGGGAUAACUAUUGGAAACGAUAGCUAAUACCGCAUAAGAGUAGAUGUUGCAUGACAUUUGCUAAAAAGGCGCACUUGCAUCACUACCAGAUGGACCUGCGUUGUAUUAGCUAGUUGGUGGGGUAACGGCUCACCAAGGCGACGAUACAUAGCCGACCUGAGAGGGUGAUCGGCCACACUGGGACUGAGACACGGCCCAGACUCCUACGGGAGGCAGCAGUAGGGAAUCUUCGGCAAUGGACGGAAGUCUGACCGAGCAACGCCGCGUGAGUGAAGAAGGUUUUCGGAUCGUAAAGCUCUGUUGUAAGAGAAGAACGAGUGUGAGAGUGGAAAGUUCACACUGUGACGGUAUCUUACCAGAAAGGGACGGCUAACUACGUGCCAGCAGCCGCGGUAAUACGUAGGUCCCGAGCGUUGUCCGGAUUUAUUGGGCGUAAAGCGAGCGCAGGCGGUUAGAUAAGUCUGA
rnacentral:rRNA from 1 species